rnacentral:tRNA from 4 species
GGCGGGGUAGCUCAGGUGGUUAGAGCGACGGAUUCAUAACCCGUAGGUCACGAGUUCAACUCUCGUCCCCGCUACAA